GGGCCCCUGAACCACCCAGAAAAAAAUUUUGGUUGUAGUGUUGCUGAUGUGCUCGAGUUUCGAACGAACACGUAGCUGCGAUAAUUUCUUCGGAAUGGUGCCGUAAUACUGGAGUUACACGCGCUCAGUGAUCGAAGCGCGGCCCUCGCUCGUUUCGCUCAUUCCUUCGCUACGCUCCGUCGGCUGGACUCUCCUCCUCGCCGUCUGCUCCUGCAUAUGUCACGUGACAUACGCCCAUGAAAGCCAAGACCUGUGGAAGUCAAGCAUCUGAAAUGUGUCGUUUGUAUAGCGCCCUGCUACCCAUGCUGCUGUAUCUUUUCCUCUUCUCCUUGAGUGCGGAAUCCGGCUGCGCCGAUAAAAAGAACCCACCAAGCGACAUCAAGUAUUGUCUCAACAAAAAUCGACAUCGCUUGGGCUGCAGGUCGGAAACUAGAUGCCCAUAUCCCUGUGAUUUUUGUUACGGAUACCAACCAACCUGCACUGGAGCAUGCGCCUACAACAAAACAGCCCGUAAGAUACAAAUAAAGCAAAUGGUGCAAACAGCGCCACCAUGCUUUCCGCGAAAAUCAUGUUAAUGAAUUGUUUCUCCAAAUAUCUCUUAAAAUCUU